AACUUAGCGCAGCGGCGAUAUAGUAACCAAUGAGGUUUAGCCGAGGUGCCAUUAUUGCUAAUUGAAAAUUAAAGUAAAAAUUACAAUUAUUAAUUUUUAACCCUUUCGGUU
rnacentral:snRNA from 1 species